AACGCUCGUAGUUGGAUAUUUGUUGAAAGAAUGUCGGUCCACCCAAGCGGUGCGUACUCGAUAUGUCUUCGACAUCUUACUGGGGACAGUAAUUCCACUUUAUUGCGGGGUUACACGAUCCAGAACUUUUACUUUGAGGAAAUGAGAGUGUUUCAAGCAGGCCAAGCCAUGAAUACGUUAGCAUGGAAUAAUAGCAUAGGACCUUGCGUCGUAGCUGUUGGUUGACGGCAUAAGGUAAUAAAAAUAGGGAUAGUUGGGGGCAUUCGUAUUGCAAUGUCAGAGGUGAAAUUCUUGGAUUUUUGCAAGACGGACUACUGCGAAAGCAUUUGCCAAGGAUGUUUUUAUUAAUCAAGAACGAAAGUUAGGGGAUCGAAGACGAUCAGAUACCGUCGUAGUCCUGACCAUAAACCAUGCCGACUAGAGAUUGGAGGAUGUCAUCAUUAGAUUCCUUCAGCAACUUGAGAGAAAUCAAAGUCUUUGGGUUCCGGGGGGAGUAUGGUCGCAAGGCUGAAACUUAAAGGAAUUGACGGAAGGGCACCACCAGGAGUGGAGCCUGCGGCUUAAUUUGACUCAACACGGGGAAACUUACCAGGUCCAGACAUAGGAAGGAUUGACAGAUUGAUAGCUCUUUCUUGAUUCUAUGGGUGGUAGUGCAUGGCCGUUCUUAGUUGGUGGAGUGAUUUGUCUGGUUAAUUCCGAUAACGAUCGAGACCUUAACCUGCUAAAUAGUUUCAUGAAGCUUAGGCUUUGUGGUAGCUUCUUAGAGGGACCUUUUGUGUGGAAUAAAAGGAAGUGUGAGGCAAUAACAGGUCUGUGAUGCCCUUAGAUGUUCUGGGCUGCACGCGCGCUACACUGAUGCGUCCAACGAGUACCCCACCUGGUCCGAAAGGAUUGGGUAAUCUUGUGAAAGCGCAUCGUGAUGGGGAUAGAUUAUUGCAAUUAUUAAUCUUGAACGAGGAAU
rnacentral:rRNA from 1 species